UACGGAGGGUGCAAGCGUUGCUCGGAAUUAUUGGGCGUAAAGGGUAGGUAGGUGGUCUUAUUUGUCUGGGGUGAAAGCCUUGAGCUUAACUCAAGAAGUGCCCCAGAAACGGUAAGACUCGAGUCCUGGAGAGGGUCGUGGAAUUCCCGGUGUAGCGGUGAAAUGCGUAGAGAUCGGGAGGAACACCAGAGGCGAAAGCGGCGACCUGGACAGGUACUGACACUCAACUACGAAAGCGUGGGGAGCAAACAGG
rnacentral:rRNA from 1 species